UUUGAAAAUUUUCAAUAGAACCAACUCUAAAUUUAGUCAAAUUGUCUAGAUCCCUAAUUCAUAUUCCUAGUUACGAGAACAUCUUUCAUAGAGUAAACUUCUCCUUGCGUCCAAGAUGAGAUCAUCUUCUAUCUUCGCUCCAAAAUCAUUUUCCCUAAAAUUAUUUCCCCAAAUUAUGAAAUCCUCUUCUUUUUUCUUUUGUCAUUGACCUAAUCAAUUUAUUUGCGAUUGCACUUGUUGUUGCUCAUCUUAAUCGAUUUUUCUAGGGUUCUUGUUUUUUGCUUUGGCAUGUUUAUUGUGUUCGCCCUUUCAUUGGGCCUUGCAUUUCGGGUUUAAGAGAAACAACACAUUCUAUAUUUUCGGCGUUUACUGCGUUUUUGACAUUGGCAAUUCUCGCACCACAUGACGAUUUCAUCAUUGUUACGUUUUUCAUUUAAUACUUAUACAAGUAUUUUUAUUUUAAGGUUUUUGUUUUUCAUCAAACGGUGACAAUUGAUGGAACUGCUUCCACAGUUCACACUGAUUAUUAUCUAAUUUAUGGUAGAAGCAGAGCAUUGCCUACAUUACUUAACUUUUUUGUGAAAAUGUUAGGGGUAAUUCAUUACCGCACAUAAUGAUUCUUCUUUAUUCAUUGGAUUGUAUCUGGUUAUUGAUUUAUUUGCUUUUUUUUUUGUUAAGGGGUUCUGAAAUUCUCUUCAAAAAUUUCAAGUCUAAAGAAACAGUUACAUAUCCUUAUGAUGUUAGUGGAAUCAUAAAGCCUUCAAACUAUAAUGAAAUUUUGUUUUUAUAUCAAGCAAAAUGGUGAGCAAUAACAUUAACAUUGCUAAAUGUAAAUGUUACUCUUCUGUUAUUACAGGUGUUGAUUUGGAUUAUUAUACCAACACUUAGGGGUUCAACCAUGGCAAACACUAAAAAUGCCCUUCGUUUUUCAUCAGUUUCUAAUAUAUUCCAAGGUUGUUUUUUAUUUUUCCACUUUCAUCACAAAUUGUAAAAGCUACAGGAGUUGUCACACAAACAGUGUGGGUUCCAUUGCUUGAUCAAAUGGAUGAGAAGAUGUUAGACGCAAUAUGCGAAAGACUAAAGCCUGCAUUGUACACUAAAGGAACUUAUCUUGUUCGCGAAGGUGAUCCAGUAAACGAGAUGUUAUUUAUAAUUCGAGGCAAUCUUGAUUCUUACACCAAAAAUGGAGGUUGGGUCAGAUUCUUCAAGUCAUGUCGAAUCGGACCAGGUGAUUUCUGUGGUGAAGAACUGUUGACAUGGACCUUAAAUCCAAGACCAAGUGUGAUACUCCCUUUUUCAACAAGAACACUUAAAGCUAUCUCAAAAGUUGAAGUCUUUGCACUCAUAACUGAAGACCUUAAGUUUGUUGCGUCUCAAUUUAGAAGACUACAUAGUAAACAACUUAGGCAUAAAUUAGGAAUUAUUGGAACAAGUUGAGCAUAAAUUAUAAAAAAGUUGGUUUUCCAAAUCAAUUAUUUUAGUUUCUUGCUCAA